UGCAAUGCAAAGUUAAAAAUGACGAUUUUACGAUUAAGAUACUCCGUUUUCUCCGUCAUCGUCAAGUGUGGGCAAGGGGGGUUGCGGAAGGAGAGAAGAAAUGUGCUACAGAACGUUCUUCAUUGGCUAGAGACUUUGGCCAAUCAAGAGGCACGAUAAUGUCUCGCGCCUCGGGUAUGUUCCACUUGACGCUCAGUCGCAGCAGCUCCAACUUGAGUUACGUCAAAGUGAUAAACACUUAUCGACAUCGAGUAACUAAUUGUAAUAAUGUAAUGUAAUGUAAUGUAAUGAAUAAAUACACUUCAAUCCUUCUUUCUGGCGUUAGUGUCGUGAGUGUGUUAAUAUUUUUGGGUUAUGUUUAACUAUCAAUAGUGAUUUCGUUCGGAAUGUACUGAUAAGACACGACUGAGUUGCUCGAUUAAUAUGCGGAUAUAUUUUUAAUAACAUUAAUCAUUGUUUCGGCGUACGUACAAACACAUGUAACAACUGCUACGUUUUUUACUGGAGAUGAUGGUAGAAGAUUGCAUGACGUCACGAUGGAUGCAGAGAGGAAUGUAGUGAUGAGACAAAAAUGAGUUGAUGCUCGAUUAAUAUGCAGAUAUGUUUUAAUAAUGUUUCGGCCUUCAUACAACACAUGUAACAACUGUUAUGCUUACUGGAGAUGAUGGCCGAAGUUUGCAUGACGUCACAAUUGGAUGAAUGGAUGGAUGCAGAGAGGAAUGCAGUGAUGAGACGAGAAUGAGUUGAUACCCGAUUAAUAUGCGGAUAUGUUUUAAUAAUGUUUCGGCCUUCAUACAACACAUGUAACGAAUGUUACGCUUACUGGAGAUGAUAGCGGAAAUUUGCAUUACGUCACAAUUGCAUGGAUGGAUGCAGAGAGGAAUGCAGUGAUGAGACGAGAAUGAGUUGAUGCUCGAUUAAUAUGCGGAUAUAAGAAGAUCGAAGGAAGUUUUAAUUAUAAACACAAUGUUAUUUUUAUCUGUACUUGUUAUAUAUUUUUUUUAUGAUACAUAACGUUGGUUACAUAUAGUUUUCAGUGAAAUCGUA